rnacentral:rRNA from 1 species
UGCAAGUCGAGCGGAGAUGAGGUGCUUGCACCUUAUCUUAGCGGCGGACGGGUGAGUAAUGCUUAGGAAUCUGCCUAUUAGUGGGGGACAACAUUUCGAAAGGAAUGCUAAUACCGCAUACGCCCUACGGGGGAAAGCAGGGGAUCUUCGGACCUUGCGCUAAUAGAUGAGCCUAAGUCGGAUUAGCUAGUUGGUGGGGUAAAGGCCUACCAAGGCGACGAUCUGUAGCGGGUCUGAGAGGAUGAUCCGCCACACUGGGACUGAGACACGGCCCAGACUCCUACGGGAGGCAGCAGUGGGGAAUAUUGGACAAUGGGGGGAACCCUGAUCCAGCCAUGCCGCGUGUGUGAAGAAGGCCUUUUGGUUGUAAAGCACUUUAAGCGAGGAGGAGGAGCUCUAGACUAAUACUCUAGAUGCUUGGACGUUACUCGCAGAAUAAGCACCGGCUAACUCUGUGCCAGCAGCCGCGGUAAUACAGAGGGUGCAAGCGUUAAUCGGAUUUACUGGGCGUAAAGCGUGCGUAGGUGGUCUUUUAAGUCGGAUGUGAAAUCCCUGAGCUUAACUUAGGAAUUGCAUUCGAUACUGGGAGACUAGAGUAUGGGAGAGGAUGGUAGAAUUCCAGGUGUAGCGGUGAAAUGCGUAGAGAUCUGGAGGAAUACCGAUGGCGAAGGCAGCCAUCUGGCCUAAUACUGACACUGAGGUACGAAAGCAUGGGGAGCAAACAGGAUUAGAUACCCUGGUAGUCCAUGCCGUAAACGAUGUCUACUAGCCGUUGG